UGUUUGCUUGAACUCUAAAAUCACAUGAUUGUGCUCACAUUUCUUCUUCUUGGAAACAAAAAUUUCCCUCACACUCAAAUAUGUCCUGUGAUCAGAUCUAAAUCUAAAGUCUGCGCUCUCAAAACUGUUGUGCUCCACUCAGAGCCAGCUGGUGUGCUUCGCUGUGUGUGUUAAAAUAGUCGGAGCUGCCUUGGCCAUCUUUGGCUAUGUGCAGUACGCCAGAGACGUGACAUGGAACUAGAGAAGCUAUAGUUGGAGAUAUGAUUAUAUGACGGCCCGACUUCAGUGGAGGAGCGAGAGGUGGAUCUGACUGACGACGGAGGACGCGACACUACAGCCUCUCUACACCUCAACCUGACUGAGAGAAGCCGCUGCUAAUUCAUUUUGUGUUGGCAGUGGUGGACAGCACUCUGAUCGUCCUGGCCAUUCUCCACUUCUGUGUCUGCAUCAGCUUUGCUUCUCUGGGCAUCAAGGCUGUGGUCAACAAGAUGAAGGAAGAGGGGGAAGUUAAGGAUGAGGAGCCACUGCUGAAGGAAGACCUCAUGACCAGUCCUGGGGCUUAAAAUCAGCUCAACUUCUGGAUGCAUGUCAUUGUAACACACUUUUUACUUUUUAAUAUCACGAGGAUGAAAAUGAGUUUGAUUUUUUUUAUCUGCUCUUGAUCUGUUUUUAAAAGU